GCGCACGGGUGCGUAACGCGUAUGCAACCUACCUUUAACUGAGGAAUAGCUCCGAGAAAUCGGGAUUAAUCCCUCAUAAUAUUUUUGAAAGGCAUCUUUUAAAAAUUAAAGUUUCGACGGUUAUUGAUGGGCAUGCGUGGCAUUAGUUUGUUGGUGAGGUAACGGCUCACCAAGACAUCGAUGCCUAGGGGGCCUGAGAGGGUGAUCCCCCACACUGGUACUGAGACACGGACCAGACUCCUACGGGAGGCAGCAGUAAGGAAUAUUGGGCAAUGGACGAAAGUCUGACCCAGCCAUGCCGCGUGCAGGAUGACGGCCCUAGUGGUUGUAAACUGCUUUUAUACGGGAAGAAAAGUUCCAACGUGUUGGAAUGUGACUGUACCGUAUGAAUAAGCAUCGGCUAACUCCGUGCCAGCAGCCGCGGUAAUACGGAGGAUGCAAGCGUUAUCCGGAUUCAUUGGGUUUAAAGGGUGCGUAGGCGGAUUGGUAAGUCAGUGGUGAAAUCCUCUCGCUUAACGGGAGAAUUGCCGUUGAUACUAUCAAUCUUGAGUACACUUGAAGUGGGCGGAAUGUGUCAUGUAGCGGUGAAAUGCAUAGAUAUGACACAGAACACCGAUUGCGAAGGCAGCUCACUAAAUUGUAACUGACGCUGAGGCACGAAAGCGUGGGGAGCAAACAGGAUUAGAUACCCUGGUAGUCCACGCUGUAAACGAUGAUCACUAGCUGUUGGCGAUACACUGUCAGCGGCUGAGCGAAAGUAUUAAGUGAUCCACCUGGGGAGUACGAUCGCAAGGUUGAAACUCAAAGGAAUUGACGGGGGCCCGCACAAGCGGAGGAGCAUGUGGUUUAAUUCGAUGAUACGCGAGGAACCUCACCCAGGCUUAAAUGCUUUUUGACCGUCCUGGAAACAGGAUUUCCCUUCGGGGCAAAUUGCAAGGUGCUGCAUGGUUGUCGUCAGCUCGUGCCGUGAGGUGUCGGGUUAAGUCCCAUACCGAGCGCAACCCCUAUUAUUAGUUGCCAUCAGGUAAUGCUGGG
rnacentral:rRNA from 1 species